UCUGCUUUCCUGAACUUUGACAUUAAUGCAAUUUCUUUUCUUUUCAGGAACGGAAACAAAUUUUCUUGUUUAUAGUUUGCUUUGGUCAAACACCUCAAUCAUUUCCAAGGCUACCAUCUAGACAGUCUCGCCCAGAACCGUGCUGCAGCAUUUGGGACUGAUGCUGAAAAGUGGACUAGAAGUAUCUGAUCCUUUGCUUGUUUUGAAACAGUAAACCCCAUAUUGUAAAAAUGGCAGAGUUCUUUUGGUCCCUGGUUGAGCAUAGCUAAUUCCUGAUCUGUGGGAGCAUGUUUGUAUUGCAGUGAUCCUAAUUUACCCAUAAAUAAAUUAUUCUCCUCUGAAGCCCAUAAUAAAUACAGUUUUAAUUGCAUGCCAACUGUUAGACCCUAAAAUUAGACAGCUUUGCUCCUCCUUUGCCAAUGGGAGGAGGUGUUCUGGAAUAUUUGAGCUGAGAUUUGCUGUGGCUCCAGAAGCACUUUGGGAGAGAGAAGAGGCAGAGAUAUUUUUGAUGAACAUCUUAACAGCUUUCAGUUGUAGAAGCCUUAUUUCUGGGUCAGACAGAGGCCACGUUCAAAUGUCUCCAAACCAACAGAAGGGUCGUGGUCCAGCUGUGCCUUGUAUCAUCUCUCUGCUUUGAAUCUCCAGGAUCCGUUUUCAGAGAUGAAGCCAAAGAGGGUUUGAAUGGAUAAUGCAUGAACAUGUUCCAUUCUUUUGUGGACCUGUAGGAUGACAGUAGAAACCAGAGCAUCUGCAGCUAUGUCUUCUUCACUUUCACAGUCCUGUCUUCCAGGAGGAGUAGUACCAGAGAAACUGGAGAAAAGUGUCCCUCCGUUCCCAGUUCCCCCCACUGGACCUGCCGCCACUUUCGUUAGCUUACUCGGAUACCCUUCCGAGAUAUUUCAGACAUGUGCAAGUAUGAAUCUGCUAGUGCCGUGUCCCAGAAACUCUUCAGAGCCACCUGUCUGCUCUGCUCAUGGACACAAACAUUCCUCUGGCUCUAGGAUGGAGGUGUCCAAAUGCCCACAUUAAUAAGACACAACAGAGCCACAGAAGGUAGGAGAUUCACAGGAUGUUUUGUUUGUUUUAAGUGUAUAUGUCCAGCUCUUUCUGCUAAAAACUGAAAAGAAGCAGCAUUUUGGAAUGUAUCAAGAUGAGUACAGGCAGACCUUGUUUUAUUGUGGUUUGCCUUAUUGCACUUUGCAGAUAUUGUGUUUUUUACAAAUUGAAGGGGUGGCAACCCUCGGUCAAGCAAGUCUUUCAGAACCAUUUUUCCAAAACCAUUUGCUCCCUUCAUGUCUCUGGGUCACAUUUUGGUAAUUCUCGCAAUGCUUCAAACCAUUUCCUUAUUAUGAUAUUGAUCAUGUUGGUCUGCAAUCAGUGAUUAUGACUCACUGAAGGCUCAGGUGAUGGUAAGCAUUUUUUAGCAAUGAAGUAUUUUUUAC